UACAGAGGGGACUAGCGUUGUUCGGAAUUACUGGGCGUAAAGCGCACGUAGGCGGAUUUGUAAGUCAGGGGUGAAAUCCCGGGGCUCAACCUCGGAACUGCCUUUGAUACUGCAAAUCUCGAGUCCGGAAGAGGUGAGUGGAAUUCCUAGUGUAGAGGUGAAAUGCGCAGAUAUCAGGAAGAACACCGAUGGCGAAGGCAGUUCUCUGGGACGGUACUGACGCUGAGACGCGAAAGCGUGGGGAGCGAACAGG
rnacentral:rRNA from 1 species